UCAACGGUUACAAAGUGGAGGAAUAACUAGAAAAUCAUAGCCACAAACACUAACCUAGGAGCAGCGCAGCUAAUUAAAUCUCCAACUGAUUAGCCUUGCUACUCACUGAAAAAGGUGAUUCAGUGCAACAACAAAUCCAAAAUCACUGAGGCAACAACUUAGAGUCAGCUAUGACGUGCCCUGAAAGUAAAAGUCUUCCUCAGGGUAAAGUCAUAAUAUAAAUAGGUGCUGUUUUCAUGUACUUUUAAAUGAACUACAACAUGCAAAUGAAAAAUAACUAGCAAAGAAAAUGGGAUUGGGUGUCUGUGGUUCAUGGCCACCAAGAGCCUAUAAAUGACUCCGUGAGUAAAUGGAUCCAGGAUCACAUGGCCCUGAAGCCAGGACCCACUGUUGUUGACACCAGUUGUUGCUAUCUCUGGCAUCUCCAUAUAAGGGCACCUGGGAACAACCAGCAGGGCUGGAGAAGCCCAAGUGUUACUAAAUUCUGCAUCACAGUAGCUCAACCCUCCUCCCUAACUCUGGUGUGCAAAUUUGCUCACUAUUCUAAGAUUGACCAAAGCAGUAUCCUUUUAACGGAAACUUUUCUAAUCCCUUGCACUGAAACACGAUUCUGACCUACUUGGGAGUACAAGAAGGUGGCAACAGCAAACUCCAGUUCUGGAUUCCGAGGCAGUUUUCCUCUGCACCAGAACUGAGAGAUGGGACUCACGCUUGCCGCAGCUACAGCGACUCUACAGGCCAGACAAAUACGGUUUCAACAAGAAGCUACAUCACAUGACCCAGGAGUUGUUGAGAAUGUCGGGGAGGAAGAGCCCUGGUUUGGGAAGAACACCUUCACGGAUCUGGGCUCUUCUCUAGUGUACAGGUUACCCCACCCCUGAAGCCUCUUCUUACUGUUGUCUGCACUAAACCCAAAGAAAUCAGUAACUAGAAUCCCAAUGAGGCGCUAAGGACUAUUCUACAGUGAUAUACCCAAUGACAUUGCUACAUUCUUUCAUCUAUCUUCAUGCUUCCAAAUAUACAAGUGAGUUUUGUCUCUCUCCCCCUAUCUAGGUUGGUUAUUUUGAACUUUGUACCUCAAACCCAUAAAUGUUUCUUCUACUAGAAAAGAAGCACUUUUAGUGUGAAAAGAUCUUUAUUUUAAAAUUUAAGACUAUAGCAGAUAAAAUGUGUUACUGCCCUCAGAGGUCAAGGUUGGCAGCUUUUCUGGCAUAUGCUGAACUCCUCGUGAACUCCCUCCCACUAGCUUUGGUCUCAAAGACCAAAUGGCCUUUCAGAGUAGCUCUAAGGUCUCAUGCUUCGUCAACCCCAGUGACAGAACUAAAAUGAUUAGGUCCCAUUUAAUAAUUAAAAUAUAGCAGAAUUCUAAAAGAAUUAGCUCCCAAAACUGUAUCCAAAACUCACUUGUCUAGUAUAUUAAGUACUUUGUAUAUUUACAACAUUAUAAUCAAUAUUUUUGGACAACUACAGUAUAAGAAAUUUAAACUUGGGUGAUAGGUUUCCUCAUUAUGAAAUCAAGUACAGUAACAUAUUUUUGCUCUUCAUAAAUAGAAAUGACCAAACAUUACAAAUACUUUAUUUAUGUUUACUGAUUAUAUUUAGAGAAUAUUCAAUAACCAGAACUCACCAUUUGCAAUAUUGUACAUUAAAUUAUAACCCCUGCUAUAAAAGCCAUCUAUGUUAACCCAAGAUAAAAACGAUCUCUAGUUUAAAUAUGUUAGAAAUUACAAAAAAAAAAAAAAAAAUUAGAAAGUGAUCUUCAAGUGCCAAAAA